UGAUGACGAGACGCUAAGGCGUUGAAGCAGUGUAUGUCAGACUUCCAAGAAAAGCUCGCAAUGUCACAAAUAAAAGAUGCCUGUACCAUAACCGACACAGGUGGGUAGGUAGAGUAUACUAAGGGGCGCGAGAUAACUCUCUCUAAGGAACUCGGCAAAAUGACUCCGUAACUUCGGGAGAAGGAGUGCCUUAUUUAUAAGGUUGCAAUAACAAGAUCCAAGCAACUGUUUAUCAAAAACACAGGUCUCCGCUAAGUCGUAAGACGAUGUAUGGGGGCUGACGCCUGCCCAGUGCCAGAAGGUUAAAGAAGUUGGUUAGUGUAUGCGAAGCUGAUGACUGAAGCCCUGGUGAACGGCGGCCGUAACUAUAACGGUCCUAAGGUAGCGAAAUUCCUUGUCGGGUAAGUUCCGACCCGCACGAAAGGCGUAAUGAUUUGGAUACUGUCUCGGAGAGAGGCUCGGUGAAAUAGACUUGUCUGUGAAGAUGCGGACUACCUGCACCAGGACAGAAAGACCCUAUGAAGCUUUACUGUAACUUGAAAUUGGAAUUGGACUUUGCUUGCGCAGUAUAGGUGGGAAGCGUUGAAAAUAUUCUUGCGGGAGUAUUGGAGCUAUCAGUGAGAUACCACUCUUGUAAUGUUAGAUUUCUAACUUUGAACCAUAAUCUGGUCAAAGAACAGUUUCAGGUGGGCAGUUUGACUGGGACGGUCGCCUCCCAAAUGGUAACGGAGGCGUACAAAGGUUUCCUCUGAACGGAUAGAAAUCGUAUCUAGAGUGUAAAGGCAUAAGGAAGCUUGACUGUGAGACCUACAAGUCGAGCAGGGACGAAAGUCGGUCUUAGUGAUCUGACGGUACUGAGUGGAAAGGCCGUCACUCAACGGAUAAAAGUUACUCUAGGAUAACAGGCUGAUCUCCCCCAAGAGUUCACAUCGACGGGGAGGUUUGGCACCUCGAUGUCGGCUCAUCGCAUCCUGGGGCGGUAGUACGUCCCAAGGGUUGGGCUGUUCGCCCAUGAAAGCGGUACGCGAGCUGGGUUCAGAACGUCGUGAGACAGUUCGGUCCAUAUCCGGUGUAGGCGCUAGAAUAUUGAGAGGAGCCUUCUUUAGUACGAGAGGACCGAGAAGGACACACCGCUGGUGUACCAGUUAUCGUGCCAACGGUAAACGCUGGGUAGCUAUGUGUGGAGUGGAUAACCGCUGAAAGCAUCUAAGUGGGAAGCCCACCUCGAGAUGAGUAUUCUCAU
rnacentral:rRNA from 1 species